rnacentral:rRNA from 1 species
AUUGAACGCUGGCGGCGUGCUUAACACAUGCAAGUCGAUCGGUAACAGGUGUAGCAAUACAUGCUGACGAGAGGCGGACGGGUGAGUAAUGCUUGGGAAUCUGCCUAUUAGUGGGGGACAGCCCGGGGAAACUCGGGCUAAUACCGCAUACGCUCUACGGAGGAAAGCCGGGGACCGCAAGGCCUGGCGCUAAUAGAUGAGCCCAAGUCGGAUUAGCUAGUUGGAGGGUAACGGCCUACCAAGGCGACAAUCCGUAGCUGGUCUGAGAGGACGACCAGCCACACCGGAACUGAGACACGGUCCGGACUCCUACGGGAGGCAGCAGUGGGGAAUAUUGGACAAUGGGGGCAACCCUGAUCCAGCGACGCCGCGUGGGUGAAGAAGGCCUGCGGGUUGUAAAGCCCUUUCGGUGGGGAAGAAAAGUCUCGACCUAAUACGUCGGGACCUUGACGUAACCCACUAAAGAAGCACCGGCUAACUCUGUGCCAGCAGCCG